rnacentral:rRNA from 1 species
UACGUAGGGUGCGAGCGUUGUCCGGAAUUACUGGGCGUAAAGAGCUCGUAGGUGGUUUGUCGCGUUGUUCGUGAAAACUCACAGCUUAACUGUGGGCGUGCGGGCGAUACGGGCAGACUGGAGUACUGCAGGGGAGACUGGAAUUCCUGGUGUAGCGGUGGAAUGCGCAGAUAUCAGGAGGAACACCAGUGGCGAAGGCGGUACUCUGGGCCUUACCUGACGCUGAGACGCGAAAGCGUGGGGAGCGAACCGG